rnacentral:rRNA from 1 species
UGAUUCUGGCUCAGGAUGAACGCUAGCUACAGGCUUAACACAUGCAAGUCGAGGGGAAACGACAUCAAAAGCUUGCUUUUGAUGGGCGUCGACCGGCGCACGGGUGAGUAACGCGUAUCCAACCUGCCCACCACUUGGGGAUAACCCUGCGAAAGUAAGACUAAUACCCAAUGAUAUCCCACGAAGGCAUCCGAAUGGGAUUAAAGAUUUAUCGGUGAUGGAUGGGGAUGCGUCUGAUUAGCUUGUUGGCGGGGUAACGGCCCACCAAGGCUACGAUCAGUAGGGGUUCUGAGAGGAAGGUCCCCCACAUUGGAACUGAGGCACGGUCCAAACUCCUACGGGAGGCAGCAGUGAGGAAUAUUGGUCAAUGGGCGAGAGCCUGAACCAGCCAAGUAGCGUGCAGGAUGACGGCCCUAUGGGUUGUAAACUGCUUUUAUAAGGGAAUAAAGUGAGUCUCGUGAGACUUUUUGCAUGUACCUUAUGAAUAAGGACCGGCUAAUUCCGUGCCAGCAGCCGCGGUAAUACGGAAGGUCCGGGCGUUAUCCGGAUUUAUUGGGUUUAAAGGGAGCGUAGGCCGGAGAUAAGCGUGUUGUGAAACGUAGUGGCUCAACCUCUGCACUGUAGCGCGAACUGGUCUUCUUGAGUACGCACAACGUGGGCGGAAUUCGUGGUGUAGCGGUGAAAUGCUUAGAUAUCACGAAGAACUCCGAUUGCGAAGGCAGCUCACGGGAGCGCAACUGACGCUGAAGCUCGAAAGUGCGGGUAUCGAACAGGAUUAGAUACCCUGUAGUCCGCACGGUAAACGAUGGAUGCCCGCUGUUGGCCUGAAUAGGUCAGCGGCCAAGCGGAAGCAUUAAGCAUCCCACCUGGGGAGUACGGCGGCAACGGUGCAACUCAAAUGAAUUGACGGA